UGGGGAAUCUUGGACAAUGGGGGCAACCCUGAUCCAGCCAUGCCGCGUGAGUGAUGAAGGCCUUAGGGUCGUAAAGCUCUUUCGCCUGUGAAGAUAAUGACGGUACCUAGUAAAGAAGUCCCGGCUAACUCCGUGCCAGCAGCCGCGGUAAUACGGAGGGGACUAGCGUUGUUCGGAAUUACUGGGCGUAAAGCGCACGUAGGCGGACCAGAAAGUUGGGGGUGAAAUCCCGGGGGCUCAACCCCGGAACUGCCUCCAAAACUAUUGGUCUAGAGUUCGAGAGAGGUGAGUGGAAUUCCAAGUGUAGAGGUGAAAUUCGUAGAUAUUUGGAGGAACACCAGUGGCGAAGGCGGCUCACUGGCUCGAUACUGACGCUGAGGUGCGAAAGUGUGGGGAGCAAACAGGAUUAGAUACCCUGGUAGUCCACACCGUAAAACGAUGAAUGCCAGUCGUCGGGUAGCAUGCUAUUCGGUGACACACCUAACGGAUUAAGCAUUCCGGCCUGGGGAGUACGGUCGCAAGAUU
rnacentral:rRNA from 1 species